rnacentral:tRNA from 5 species
GGCGCAGUGGCGAAGUGGAAACGCUGCGGUCUGCAAAACCGCGAUGCAAGGGUCCGAUUCCCUUCUGCGCCUCUA